rnacentral:RNase_P_RNA from 1 species
AACAUAAGGUGAUCAAGGUUUAGUAUUUUAAAUAAAUAUUAAGUUUAGGAAAGUCCAUGUUAGCACAUGUUUCAGGAAUAACAUGUAGUGUUUGUGCUUAAGAAAAAAAUAACUUAAGGUACUUAAUUUUAUUGAGUAACGGCUUUUUUAGAUUCUAAGAACUUAUUUUUAUAAGUUUAUGAAAAUAAAAAAAUAAAGUGCCACAGAGACGAGUUAAUUAGAAAUAAUUAAGUGAAACGCGGUAAACCCCUCAAGCUAAUAAUCCAAAAAAAGGUAGGAGCACAUAAAAUAAACUUUUCCUGAUUUUAUUAAAGUUAUUUUUAUGCUAUUUAAAUUGAAUUAAAUAGAGAUAAAUGAUCACACUUAUUUUAUAAAAUAAUUAUUUUUGAUUAUUUUAAAAAUAAGCACAGAACAUGGCUUAUGCAU